UCAGGGAGGGCUUCCUCAGGCGCUGGCCCCAGAGUCAGGCUGCACAUUGGCUUGGAGGACAGGCCUUUCCUCUGGGACUGUGAGGCCCAGAGUGCCCACCCAGAACUCCACCUCUGACCUCACAAAGGCCUGCUUCAGAACUCGGUCUCCACGGCACUGCUGGCCAGAUGAGGGAUGUUAUUUUGGGCAGUGCAUCUGGACUUGGUUCAAGUGGCACCAGCCAAAUCCCUGCCUUACUGACCUCUCCCCUGGAGGAGCAGGAGCAGCACUCGAGGCCGCCCUGGGAGGGCUGAGAGGCAGGCUCUGGACUGGGGACACAGGGAUAGCUGAGCCCCAGCUGGGGGUGGAAGCUGAGACAGGGACAGUCACAGAGGAACAAGAUCAAGAUGCGCUUUAACUGAGAAGCCCCCAAGGCAGAGGCUGAGAAUCAGAAGACAUUUCAGCAGACAUCUACAAAUCUGAAGGACAAAACAUGGUUCAAGCAUCUGGGCACAGGCGGGCUGCCGCAGUUUGCUGGGGGUCCACUCCAGACCCUAUUCACUUGGUCCCUCCCCUACCUGGAGGUGUCACCAGUGGAAGCUGCAGAACAGCAAGGAUGGCUGCCAGCUCCUUCUUCUUUGAGCUCCAUCCCAGAGGGGCACUGAUGUGAUGCCAGCAGGAACACUCCUGUAUAAGAUAAGAUCUAAGGCACGUGAGAUGAUAUGCUUUCUGUUUGAGUUUCUCCUUUAUGUUACACAUACUGAUAAAAUUGUUGAUGCCAGUUGAUCUGAAGGUCCCAGCAAGGAGCCGACUCACAGAAGAAUGCAGUUUUCACAUCGUGAUGAUUUAAUCUUCCUUGACCUGACCAAUUGACAACCCCAAUUCUCCAGAACCUCACCCGCCACAAUCCCCUUAAAAACCCUGGCCCAGAACCCCUCAAGCAGACAGAUUUGAAGCUUGAGGAUUCCUUCAUCUCUUUGCCCAAUGGCAUUGUGAUUAUUAAACUCUUUUUCUGCUGCAAAUUAUGAUGUCUCAGUGUAUUGGUCUAUUGCUGCUCAGUGGGCAUAUGAAUCUGGCAGUCCUGUAAUAGGGACAAAAGAUAAACUACUGGCAAAACACUCGUAAAAGUCAUAACCUAAGACAUAGGCCCACUGAAAGGCGGAUAUUCAAUCAGAGCACUAUAGAACAUAUUUCUCUGCUCAUACCAUAAAAUUUAAACCAACAUGACUCCAAUAUAAGGAGACAGACAAAAGAGCUAUAAGAAACAGACACUGUUUGAAGAUGAGUACUUAAGG
rnacentral:lncRNA from 1 species